GUGGGUGUGGCCUAGUUGGUAAGGCGCAAGAUUGUGGCUCUUGAGAUCGCGAGUUCAAGUCUCGUCACCCACCCCA
rnacentral:tRNA from 1 species